GGCAAACCUGCAAAAUCAGCAAGGGGUCAAAUACUUAUUUCCCCCACUGUAUACAAGAAUAUGAAUUUAUCUCUCUUCAGGAACUACCUAACAUAAUCGCAACCACCCUCACCAGCAGCCCCUUCCUUCAUUGUCUAAUUAAGGUAACGCAUGAGUUGGAGGGCUUGUGCUGUAACUGUAACUUCUAGAUCUACUCAUCCUGUUUCCUGAAAUGGCAGACCCUGCCAAAAACUACUGUAUGUACAGAGGGGACACAGAUAUCCUGUUGUUUGCUUUGCGCCACAGUUGAAAUAUCGGCAGCAAUCUUGUAUUGUGUGUGUGAUUCCUCUGAAGUCACUCUUGUUGCUCUUGUGUGUGUGUGUGAUGAUAUUGAUUGAUUUGAUAGAGCUGGUAAUUGUAAGUCUUCCAAUUGGACCCAGUCAUGAGCUAAAGGAGAUCUGUGACCUUGCUGUCAAAGUGUGUUCUAUCAUCCAUAUGAUUUUUACAAUUGCUGUGAUCUUUACUGGUGUUAUCAAGACUGACAGUUGCAGUAAGAACAGGACAGAGUCUUGGCUUCUGAAAGUGAUGGUCGCUUACACAGCGUGGAUUUUCCUGUUUGUAAUUUGGGUUUUCGUAUUCACUGCUCAUGGAAAAGCAAUACUGGGGGGAAGCAAAAUAGGGAGUUUAAAAACAGGUGAGGGAUGGAGGCAACAAAGAAGAAAGAAGACGCUCAGUGCAGCCAAUGUGAUUGUCACCGCUGUCUCAGUAAUCCUCGUCAUUGGAAACAUGUUCUUCGCUGCAGCUGUCAUUGCUGGGAUAUUUGGGUGUCUGGAAAAAUAGGCCUGUUCUGGUACUUUGCUUGCAUGUGAUUCACAGUUUUGUACAUAUGAUACCAGUACAACCUAACAGUUAGACUAAACAAACUAGAUAGUGUUGUUAUUAACAUAUUACAUAUCAUAAAAUGGGUUGUUCAUUUUCCAAGGAAGUUUAAUUGUUAGGUCAUAUAACAUCUUAUGAGAGUUAAGCCUGUCAACAAGGUGAAACUGCAAAUAUUUGCUAAAGAUCCACUUGCCUAUAAUUACUGUAUGUAUCACCUUGUGCCAGACAUACCAGUCGUCAUCAUCAGUUGGGGAAUGUUUUUAAUGUUGUGAUCAUGUCCUCAUGAGUAAUGUGUGGAAUGUGCUUAUCUUAUAAAAAACAAGCCUUGCUAUAAUGUGUGUGAAAAUAAUGUGUCAUAGUGAUCGAUAUGAAUUGAGAGAGAUAAUUAACUUCAUUUUGAAAAGAUAUCAAGUUUUACCAUAAGUUGUCUGAAUAUAAUUAUAUCAGAAUGUGUCCAGUACUAUAAACAGCUUUUUUAUAUAAGUGCAUGAUGCCAUUCAACUUAAUUGAAAUUCAUUGUCUGUUUUUGCUUUCAACAUACAAGAUUUCAAUACAAGGACUCACCAUAUAUGACCUCUUGCAAUAGCAAUACUUGCAAAUCUACACAGUAAAACCAAUCUGUGUUUUGUGUUACAAUGUUUUGAGUACAAAAAGAGAAAUUCCCAAGUACAAGUCAAACCCAUGUGAAUUGUUGAACCUGAAUUAUUAAUGUGUAAAUUACAGUUAUGUAAACCAGUUUUAAUAUAUUUUACAUUCAAACAUUUGGACAUUUUAAAAUCUAGUUAUGUUAGUGUCACCAGGAAGUUGUGAUUUAUACAUGAUGAUUCAUUUUUAUGGUCUUUUUGAAGGAAGCAAACUUCAGCUGUGUCCACGUUCAGUUAAUAAACUUUCUACUACUGA